AUUGUUUGGCGGGCAGAAAGAUCUGUGUUUGUUAUUGUUUUCAUCAAGGUGGUAUAUGCCGCGUGGAACUUUCGUAAUAACUAAUGUAAUUGGCUUUGUGGUAUUGUGAUUUCUAAGAGACGAAAAGCGAAAUGCAAAAUUGUUGGACAGAAAACAAAAUGUAAUACACAUUCGGAUUCUGGAAGGCAAACAAGCUGAUCGGUUAAAAUGAUUGUGGUUAGAAUAUCGUAUUUUCCCAUAGAAUAUAAAUGUAUAGGAUUUAUUUAAUACUGUGGCGUAUGUACUCAAGCUGCACGUGUAGUGUUGUACUCAUGAACGUUAUAAACUGCAGAUUUAGUUUCAUAGCUGUGUUGCAUGCAACUUAUACUGUUGUGGUGGCUGUUGGAAGGCUUCUUCAAAUGUAUCUCUCGUUUAAACAUGUUGAGAUGUUAAUGGAAUUGUCGGACUUUAUUUUCAGUCACUGAAGUAGAUGAAACUCGCCAAAAACAGGAAGAGAAAUGCAGCAAAACUGGAGAUACUGUGGGAAAUUCGCAUUUGCAAAAUAAGAUGCUGAAGUAGCAGAAACACAUCACAAAUCCAGUACCACGUCAGACCUACAGGUUUGUACAACCAAAUGUUCCUGCCACCACCCUAUAUUUUUUGGGAUGGUUACUGAGGAUAGGCCACGGUGCAUACCGAAGAUCGUUACUUUAUAUUUUACCAUCUGUGCCAAAUUAAUGUUUCUGUUAAUAUAUUAAUGUUGUGGCACUGUCAAUAGUAGUAUCACAGAUACACUUUAAGAAAAUCAAACAGUUUACAUUGCACUGUGAAAACCCACUGUCAUACACUCCUGGUAAUGGAAAAAAGAACACAUUGACACCGGUGUGUCAGACCCACCAUACUUGCUCCGGACACUGCGGGAGGGCUGUACAAGCAAUGAUCACACGCACGGCACAGCGGACACACCACGAACCGCGGUGUUGGCCGUCGAAUGGCGCUAGCUGCGCAGCAUUUGUACACCGCCGCCGUCAGUGUAAGCCAGUUUGCCAUGGCAUAUGGAGCUCCAUUGCAGUCUUUAACACUGGUAGCAUGCCGCGACAGCGUGGACGUGAACCGUAUGUGCAGUUGACGGACUUUGAGCGAGGGCGUAUAGUGGGCAUGCGGGAGACCGGGUGGACGUACCGCCGAAUUGCUCAACACGUGGGGCGUGAGGUCUCCACAGUACAUCGAUGUUGUCGCCAGUGGUCGGCGGAAGGUGCACGUGCCCGUCGACCUGGGACCGGACCGCAGCGACGCACGGAUGCACGCCAAGACCGUAGGAUCCUACACAGUGCCAUAGGGGACCGCACCACCACUUCCCAGCAAAUUAGGGACACUGUUGCUCCUGGGGUACCGGCGAGGACCAUUCGCAACUGUCUCCAUGAAGCUGGGCUACGGUCCCGCACACCGUUAGGCCGUCUUCCGCUCACGCCCCAACAUCGUGCAGCCCGCCUCCAGUGGUGUCGCGACAGGUGUGAAUGGAGGAACGAAUGGAGACGUGUUGUCUUCAGCGAUGAGAGGCGCUUCUGCCUUGGUGCCAAUGAUGGUCAUAUGCGUGUUUGGCGCCGUGCAAGUGAGUGCCACAAUCAGGACUGCAUACGACCGAGGCACACAGGGCCAACACCCAGCAUCAUGGUGUGGGGAGCGAUCUCCUACACUGGCCGUACACCUCUGGUGAUCGUCGAGGGGACACUGAAUAGUGCACGGUACAUCCAAACCGUCUUCGAACCCAUUGUUCUACCAUUCCUAGACCGGCAAGGGAACUUGCUGUUCCAACAGGACAAUGCACGUCCGCAUGUAUCCCGUGCCACCCAACGUGCUCUAGCAGGUGUAAGUCAACUACGCUGGCCAGCAAGAUCUCCGGAUCUGUCCCCCAUUGAGCAUGUUUGGGACUGGAUGAAGCGUCGUCUCAUGCGGUUUGCACAUCCAGCACGAACGCUGGUCCAACUGAGGCGCCAGUUGGAAAUGGCAUGGCAAGCCGUUCCACAGGACUACAUCCAGCAUCUCUACGAUCGUCUCCAUGGGAGAAUAGCAGCCUGCAUUGCUGCGAAAGGUGGAUAUACACUGUACUAGUGCCGACAUUGUGCAUGCUCUGUUGCCUGUGUCUAUGAGCCUGUGGUUCUGUCAGUGUGAUCAUGUGAUGUAUCUGACCCCAGGAAUGUGUCAAUAAAGUUUCCCCUUCCUGGGACAAUGAAUUAACGGUGUUCUUAUUUCAAUUUCCAGGAGUGUAUAAUGUUUAUCAAAGUGGAUGACGAUUGUAUAUCUUGUGUUGCAGUUACUGUUGCAAUGAAUGUGAUUUUUUGGAUGACAUCUGAAAAACAACUGCAAUAAAAUAAUUUUGUUUAUUGCAAAAG